rnacentral:rRNA from 1 species
GGGCCCGCACAAGCGGUGGAGCAUGUGGUUUAAUUCGAUGAUACGCGAGGAACCUUACCAGGGCUUAAAUGCAGAACGACCGGGGUGGAAACACCCCUUUCUUCGGACGGUCUGCAAGGUGCUGCAUGGUUGUCGUCAGCUCGUGCUGUGAAGUGUCGGGUUAAGUCCCAUAACGAGCGCAACCCCUAUUUCUAGUUGCCAGCGGUUCGGCCGGGGACUCUAGAGAAACUGCCAGCGUAAGCUGUGAGGAAGGUGGGGAUGACGUCAAAUCAUCACGGCCCUUACGUGUUGGGCUACACACGUGCUACAAUGGUAUCUACAACAGGAAGCAAGACUGCGAAGUUAAGCA